AUCCUUUUGUGGUUCAUAAGCCUGAUUAUUGCCUGUACUUGCACACACGUUAGAUGUGCCUCUGGCCCCAAAGUUUGUUCAGCAUAUCACCUGUCUGAUG
ensembl:snoRNA